rnacentral:rRNA from 1 species
AGAAUCAACGCUGGCGGCGUGCCUAACACAUGCAAGUCGAACGAGAAAGUGGAGCAAUCCAUGAGUAAAGUGGCGCACGGGUGAGUAACACGUGACUAACCUACCCUUGAGUGGGGGAUAACCUAGGGAAACCUGGGCUAGUACCGCAUAAUACCUUCGGGUCAAAGGAGCAAUUCGCUUAAGGAGGGGGUCGCGGCCGAUUAGUUAGUUGGCGGGGUAAUGGCCCACCAAGACUGUGAUCGGUAU